rnacentral:rRNA from 1 species
AACGAACGCUGGCGGCAGGCUUAACACAUGCAAGUCGAGCGCCCCGCAAGGGGAGCGGCAGACGGGUGAGUAACGCGUGGGAAUCUACCCAUCUCUACGGAACAACUCCGGGAAACUGGAGCUAAUACCGUAUACGUCCUUCGGGAGAAAGAUUUAUCGGAGAUGGAUGAGCCCGCGUUGGAUUAGCUAGUUGGUGGGGUAAUGGCCUACCAAGGCGACGAUCCAUAGCUGGUCUGAGAGGAUGAUCAGCCACACUGGGACUGAGACACGGCCCAGACUCCUACGGGAGGCAGCAGUGGGGAAUAUUGGACAAUGGGCGAAAGCCUGAUCCAGCCAUGCCGCGUGAGUGAUGAAGGCCCUAGGGUUGUAAAGCUCUUUCAACGGUGAAGAUAAUGACGGUAACCGUAGAAGAAGCCCCGCUAACUUCGUGCCAGCAGCCGCCGUAAAAC